GAAAAGCGAGUCAACAAUUUGUAGCCAAUGUCAUUAGUAACGAUUCUACAAAACUUAUUGAAUUUCCUACUUUGAUUUCAUCUCAUAGGGGAAGAAAAAUUAUAUAUCUAUUAUACUUCUUAUGCAAAUUCAAAUGCAGAAACAAAACAUAAUGAGUCACGUAGGACGAAAGGUCGGCACGAGAUGCAGAAAGGAGAUGGCAGAUAGAACGUUGAGAGACGCGGUGCGAGAGAGAAAGAAAGAGGGGGAAAUAAAGUCUCUACAGCGAAGAUCGCGUAGCGAGGACAAACCGGCAUACCAAAGACAGACCAAGUCCAGAUGCUGUCUGUCGUACUAAAUGCGGCUGUGUGGAGAUCAUAGAGUACUUUGGGAUAUCCUGUCCCGGGGAAAUCGUUCGACGUGAAACAGGAAGUGGGGACAGAUCCUGUGCGAAGUCAUACUUUGGAAUCCCAGGGGUUAAAACGCUCCACAUCGCAUGCCUGUGUAUCGUCACUGUUAACUUCUUACGUUCCUACUCCUUCGUCCUUAGAUUUCUUCAUUUGUUUGAAGAAAAGAGACUUUAUGCCACACAUGAAUCUUAAAUGUGUGAGUUCAUUCAUGAUCAUUUAUUUUGAGCAAUUUAUACCAUUCGCUAGAAAACAUAUUAAUAAGGAAAUUAAUGUCUCCUUUCCAGGCUAUUUUUCGAAUAUCCUGUUUGUAUAGAUUCUGAUUAAAAUAGAUUUUUAAUUAUGAUUUAGAUUCUUUUUAAAUGCAAGUACAAUAAGAACAAGUAAAGAAACUAGGAUGGACGUAUCCAAGAUAUUAUCUCUCUGCAUUCAAGCACGUAGACGAUUUAGAAACUGGUUGCUCCUUCGUUAUUCCCAGAGAUGCAUCGGUCAGCCUACGAAAGGAAUGGUGGUCACUUGGGAAGAAGUAGGGUUGAUC